AAAAAAAAAGAAAACGAAGGAAAGAGAGUGAGGAAAGAGUGAGUUUCUCUCUUUUUCUUUUCUUUUUCUUCUCAUUUUUAA
rnacentral:ribozyme from 1 species